UACAGAGGUCUCGAGCGUUAGGCGGAAUCACUGGGCUUAAAGCGUGUGUAGGCGGAUUGGUAAGUACCUUGUGAAAUCCCACGGCUCAACCGUGGAACUGCUCGGUAUACUGCCUGUCUUGUGCAACCUAGGGGCGAGCGGAACAGAUGGUGGAGCGGUGAAAUGCGUAGAUAUCAUCUGGAACGCCAAUGGUGAAAAACAGCUCGCUGGGGGUUUGCAGACGCUGAGACGACGAAAGCCAGGGGGAGCGGAACGGGAUUAAGAAACCCCGGGUAGUCCCAGAACCGAAGUCUACAUCGCUACCCGUAAC
rnacentral:rRNA from 1 species